GACAGGAUUAGAGCAUCACGCUCCAAAAUCGUGGGGCUGUGUCCUGGUUCCGCAGCUGUUGUGGGCAGGUACAAAACCGAGCUCUGGGUUGUACAAGCCCAGAGCAGCCCUUUCAGCGCCCAAAACUGCACACAAUAUUCAAGGCGAGGCCGCACCAGUGCAGAGCAGAGCUGGACAACCCCCUCCCUCAACUGGAGGGCACCGUGAGAGACAGUUUCAAAAGCUUUACUGAAAUCCAAAAAGAGUGCAUCAACUGGCUUCCUUUGAUCAACUAGGCACUGAGUCCAAGCACCUCUGGAGAAGUGAGAGGCAGGCAGGGCUCUGACAAAUACAUGAUUCUUGUAACUAUAGAGCAAACUCAGAUUUCCUUAUUUUACUGCAAUUAUAAUGUAUAUUCCAUAGAUUCUGCCAGAGAUACCUCUUUCUUUUUGCAAAGGAUAUCCAGAAGUUUUGCCUUGCUGGAGAUCAAAUAAAACCAUUUCAGCCUGCAAUUGGGGUGUAAAUGGAGCAAGAGAGCAAUGAGACAGUCAAAAUGUCAUUUACAGCAUGAAAGUAAGAGAUUUUUCUGUUUGUAUAUUGACUUGCUCCUCGAGUAUCCUAAAUACUUAUCAGAACCCUUUUUUGAGUACUUGUAUGAAGAUGAUAUAAUAAAAAAUAAUUUGUAGUUUGUUUGUGAAUGUUACCAGAUUAGUGAUUACCAUCUGGCAUCUGUGUAGCAUCUGUUUAACAUAUUUACUAUAGGCAUAAUUAGCAACAGCAGUUGCAACUCCUUCUGUCACAGUGUGUUUCAAGAGAAGAAAAGAAAGUACUUUUGCAUAAAUCAUCAGAUGGUCUUUAAUUAAAAUGCAAGGUUCUAAACAAAGACCUUGUAAGAGCUUAAAGAGCUAUCAUGAACUCAUGAUCCCUUAGACAAACAGCCUACAGCUCAGCAAUACUACACAGGUUUUUAUAACAGCAACUGAGUGUUACUUUUGUCUUUUGAAUUGAAUAAAUAAAUGUGGGUCAUUGAUACAGGAUUAGUUUCAAUCAUCCUUCCCAAAUGUAUAUUUCAAAAAAAAUUCUUCUAAAUCUUUCAUAAGCUCUUUGUUUAGACUAUGCAUUACCAAAUGCAAAUCUUUUGAAUCCUGUAAAAAACUGGUCUUCAGGACAGAUUGGGAAAUCCUCUCCCUCCGGGAAGGUGUUUAUCUCAAGGCAAGGAUAAUAGGCUUUGUAGCACAGAUGGAGUAUGCUAUUUAUUGUCCUUUUUCAUAACUCAGCCCUGAAAAAUUAAUCCAUUUGUUAAAUAGUCUUUCAGUCAAAAUGCUAUUUAGUGUUUAGUUAAUUGAAAAAAAAAAAAAGGCAAUUCAAUCUGUAAAUGAAGGCAAGUCUGGAAACUGAGUAGAAAUAUUUUUUAUUCUCAGAGAUGUAGAGUCAAACAAGUGCCUAAAGUUCUUUGGUCGGUGAAGGGUUUGGCUUUAUUUUUAAGUCUGUUUCUGCCUAUGUGUAAGCAAGUGACUAUUGCAGAGAAACUUCCUGCGGUAGUGUACUCAUUCUGUCCCCUUUUGGUUUUGACUUUGGUUAGACAGCCUAAAUUAGUUGUCACAAGUGAAAUAUCAAUCAAUACAGAAGAACUUGCUAUUCUAACCUGAAAAUAAGUUAAUAAAAGUUACCCUAGCAGGCUAAAAUAAGGCCCAGCUUGUUUUUUAGUACAUGUGCUCUAAGAACACGUUCUGUCAAGCCACAAGUCUUUCCCAAUCACAGGGCAUAAUUCCACAGUCUCCUCCCCUUUCAACUGCAUUCUACCUGGAGCAGACUCAAUCAUGCUGAAGAUAUGGCUUUACUAAUUUCUGCCACUUGUGUCUCUGCACAGUAAUCUGUAUUCAGGGAUUUCAGUGUCAAAGUAGCUUCAUAAAAGCAAAUAAUAUUAUUUUACUAUUAUAGACAUAUUGCAAUGCUGACUUCUUUUGUAGGUAAUAGCUUGACACCUCCAGCUCUGCCAGUAUAUCAAAUAACUUUUAGAAGGUAAUUUUUUACUCUUCUUCUGGAAGAGAUUUGAUUAAUGAUUUAGGUAGCAAAAGUUCUACGUCUCCCUAUAUAAUUCUGGAGUUAUCUAUUUGUCAGGCACUGAUGAAUAUUAUACCUUCAUUUCUAAGGUGCAACAUAGGCUUUAAUGAUGCCAUUAAAUCUAGUUUGUGUUUUUGUCUUGGGGUUUUCUUAGGAUAUUUUUGUAAUAAGUGUUGGAAACUAAUCUUCAAAUUCUACAGUUGUGAUCAAAAACACCUACAGCACUGAACUGAGUUUUUAGAAUGUCUGUGUCACCUUUCAUUGGUCUGCUUCUGUGUCGCCAUGGCAAUAGGACAAAGAACUAAAUGAAGACACAUUGUUAAAACAUAGUCAUAAAAUAACAUCUUAUUUUGAAGCAAAAGUUCUGUGCCUAUAGGAAUGGAGUAACACUAGAGUUACAUUGUUAGACUCAGUAAGUUUAUGAUUGUUUUAAUUUCUUGUCUUUUGUUAGAAGAUAAUUGUAAUCAUUCUUGUCAUAAAGCAACCUAAACACAAACUUAGGCAUGCUGUGGUAGGGUAAAAAGCCUCCUAACUAUCUCUGAGGGUGUAUUUGCUCCUGCAGGACUUGGAAAGUUGUCUUGAGUUGGCACAUUAGAUCUCAUAUUUGGAGUUAUCUGCUGUAUCUGUGCUGAUGUUUCUCCUUUGGCUUGCAGAGACAUUAUAUUAUCUCCUUUAUGAAACAGAAGCUGAGUGUCUGCUGAACAGAUGCCAUGUAUUUAAAAACACAUCCUAAAAAUUUAUCCUAGGAAAUACUUAUGCCUCAUCUCUUUAGCUUUGUGCACUAUUCAUUCUGCAAACAGCUUGGUUCUCUGUUUCUCUCAGAUGAAAAUUUCUGUUGUGCUUGAAGUCUUUCUGGUUUUGCUAUCGUCUUAUCUAAAAAUGCAUUCAGGAAAGUGAUAUUUUGAAGAAUGUAAUACUUAAAUAGAAAGUGUAUCUUGUAAACUUCCUAGAACCUUUUUGGGAAUAAGCUUUAGGACUACCUCUAUUAAAUCUGCUGUUGUCAUUCCCUGUCCUCACCAAAUAAAUAAUAUUCACUGUAUUGUUAUUAAUUAAAUAUUUAAAUGCUUUUUUUCCCCCCUUCUAGAAAACAGACUGCAAAACAAGGCUUUGUUCUAGAUAUCUAGAUUUCUCAGGUCUGCCUCCUUCAGAAGUGGGUAGAGAAGCAUCCCAACAAGAUGACUGACAUGAUGCAUAACUUGUACCGUUCAUGAGGCAAUACUGAAUAUGCUAAAACAAAAUAAACAGGAACAGUUUAGUUUUGAUGAGUAAAAAAUAAAGAACAAUUUCAUGCUGUGGACAAUUUAAUCAGUUUCAUUAAGCUGAGUAUUCUCCAGAAAUUAAUUUUCUUUUCAGUUGCAUCGAAUCUUGAGGAGUUUGUUUUAUCUUUUGCCUCAUACGAGUAAAUGUUUCAACACAUUGUCCAGUCAUUUCUGUUAAAUCAUGGGGUUUUUCUAACUAUUGUGCUACUGUUUGUAUUUCCUAGAAAUGUGACUACAGUGUUUGAUACAGAUGUUGCAUUUGCAGCAGUGGACGUGAAUGAACAAGUCAUGGCUGAAACUGGAACUAAAUUGUUACAGAGGCAUGCUAUUGCUAUACUAAUUAAAAAUAAGCAAUUUAUUAAACUAUUAAAUUUGUAGGACUGUAUUUAGAAUUUACACACAAAUAUUUAUAGAAUCUGUCAGUAUUUUAUUCUAAGGCAUCUGGCCUUCUUAGAUGAUUUUGCAUUCUGCUGUAGUUAUUGCUGCUGCAGUGAUUUUUCUCAAAAGUAUUUGAAUCUUUUUUCACUAAUAGGUGAAAAAGACUCAGCUGGCACUUCUAACGCUCUGGAGCACCCACAAACAGAAUCCAUCUGUGGCUAUGUCAUUACCACCACUGGAAAACAUUAAUAAAAUGUUAGGUAGGAAAGGAGUGUGUGCUUUCACUCACAGGAACUCUUUGACCGAGAAAUACAUUUAAAACUCAAGAGGAUACAUUAAAAUAUGUGAUUCCAGGUUAUUAUUCUUCCACAUUUUGUCAAAUCCCUGGCAGUCCGUUAUUUUCAGCUCCUUUUUUUUUCCUCUCUUAAAUAAGAUAAAAUGCUGCAGAGGCUAAAUGCAGAGUCUUCACAUUACUAUUCUGUCCAUCCAGUGUUGGAAUUGAUUAAAGUAAAUAAAAUGACAGGUAAGAUUUUCUUUCUGACAAUUAUGUCCUUUCUUAUUCUUCCUUUUUUUCAGAGUUGCUUAGUUUAAAUGUAUUAGUUUAGGGAUUUCUUUCUGAUGACUGCAUUAAUAGAGCAAUUCCCCCAAGGAAAGGAGAAAGAAAGAGAUUCUUAUUUGUGUGAACCUUUCCUUCCCUGUUGGAAACACUUUAACUUCUUCAGGCGUUUUGUUGUUCCACUUUUGAAAGCCUUUGUUUUUUAUAGCAUCUCUGUUCAUAGCAAGAACAGUAUGCACUUCUGUUUUACAUAUUUUUUUAAUUCUAAUACUUCUCACAAACUGAUGGUGGCAGUGAUGAUUGUAAAAGGUUAUAUCUGUGAUUACUUUUUUAACUUGAAGAGAAUCCAGUGCCGUUUGCAGAAGAGUAAACUGGAUAAGAAAGUGAAACCACAAAAUUCCUUUUUCAGUUUUUCAUCUGAGACCUGGGAUAUAUGUAAAGGACAGAGAAGUUUCACUUUUCAGGCACUAGAAGUAAAUGACAUAUAUUUGUUAAAACUUUAAAAUAUGGCUGUAUUCUACUAUAAUUCCAUAAUAAGAAAAAUCAAGAUGCUUGGGUAUACACAUCUAAUGAAAUAGUAUGUGUCCAGUGCACUGAUGAUUUUGCUUCUCCUCCUAAAAACUUGCAUGGCUGUAUUUCAACCAGAGUUUGAAACAUCAUUUGAAGAAGAGCAUCUGUCCAGUGAAACAAUCUAAAUUUAUUAGAUUGCUCAAGUUCUAUGGCAGAUUCAGCUCUAUACCAAGCAAAGCAUAUUGCUUUACAUGUUUUGGAAAUAUUUUUUUCAGAUAAAGAAUGA